AGCGAACGCUGGCGGCAUGCUUAACACAUGCAAGUCGCGCGGGUGGUUUCGGCCAUCAGCGGCGGACGGGUGCGUAUCGCGUAGGAAUGUAUCCCGAGGUGGGGGACAACCCUGGGAAACUGGGGCUAAUACCGCAUGGGGCCUGUGGGUCAAAGCCUUAGGGCGCCUUGGGAGCAGCCUGCGUCCGAUUAGGUAGUUGGUGGGGUAAAGGCCUACCAAGCCUGCGAUCGGUAGCUGGUCUGAGAGGACGAUCAGCCACACUGGGACUGAGACACGGCCCAGAAUCCUACGGGAGGGAGCAGUGGGGAAUAUUGGACAAUGGGCGCAAGCCUGAACCAGCAAUGCCGCGUGGGUGAAGAAGGUCUUCGGAUUGUAAAGCCCUUUCGGCGGGGACGAUGAUGACGGUACCCGCAGAAGAAGCCCCGGCUAACUUCGUG
rnacentral:rRNA from 1 species